GACAGAGGAUGCAAGCGUUAUCCGGAAUGAUUGGGCGUAAAGCGUCUGUAGGUGGCUUUUUAAGUCCGCCGUCAAAUCCCAGGGCUCAACCCUGGACAGGCGGUGGAAACUACCAAGCUGGAGUUCGGUAGGGGAGACUGGAAUUCCUGGUGUAGCGGUGAAAUGCGCAGAUAUCAGGAGGAACACCGGUGGCGAAGGCGGGUCUCUGGGCCGAUACUGACGCUGAGGAGCGAAAGCGUGGGGAGCGAACAGG
rnacentral:rRNA from 1 species